rnacentral:rRNA from 1 species
GUGGGGAAUAUUGGGCAAUGGGGGAAACCCUGACCCAGCGACGCCGCGUGGGUGAAGAAAUCCUUCGGGAUGUAAAGCCCUGUUGUAUGGGAAGAGCAGAAGACGGUACCAUACGAGGAAGCCCCGGCAAACUACGUGCCAGCAGCCGCGGUAAUACGUAGGGGGCAAGCGUUGUCCGGAAUUACUGGGCGUAAAGCGCACGCAGGCUGACUUAUAAGUCGGUAGUCAAAGGCGGAGGCUCAACUUUCGUUUAUCUAUCGAUACUGUAAGACUAGAGUAUGUGAGAGGGAAGUGGAAUUCCCGGUGUAGCAGUGAAAUGCGUAGAUAUCGGGAGGAACACCAGUGGCGAAGGCGACUUCCUGGCACAAUACUGACGCUCAUGUGCGAAAGCUAGGGUAGCGAACGGGAUUAGAUACCCGGGUAGUCC